rnacentral:rRNA from 1 species
ACUUUCGAUGGUAGGAUAGAGGCCUACCAUGGUGGUAACGGGUAACGGGGUGUUAGGGCACGACACCGGAGAGGGAGCCUGAGAAACGGCUACCACAUCCAAGGAUGGCAGCAGGCGCGCAAAUUACCCAAUCCCGACACGGGGAGGUAGUGACAAUAAAUAACAAUACGGGGUUCUUUAGGAUUUCGUAAUUGGAAUGAGUACAAUUUAAAUCUCUUAACGAGGAACAAUUGGAGGGCAAGUCUGGUGCCAGCAGCCGCGGUAAUUCCAGCUCCAAUAGCGUAUAUUAAAGUUGUUGCAGUUAAAAAGCUCGUAGUUGAAUUUCGGGGUCAGUAGGUUGGUCAUGCCACUGGUAUGUACUGGUCUCACUGAUUCCUCCUUCCUGAUGAGCCGUAAUGCCAUUAAUUUGGUGUUGCGAGGAAUCUGGACUGUUACUUUGAAAAAAUUAGAGUGUUUAAAGCAGGCUAACGCUUGAAUACAUUAGCAUGGAAUAAUGAAAUAGGACGUUCGAUCUUAUUUUGUUGGUUUCUAAGAUUGACGUAAUGAUUAAUAGGGAUAGUUGGGGGCAUUAGUAUUCAAUUGUCAGAGGUGAAAUUCUUGGAUUUAUUGAAGACUAACUACUGCGAAAGCAUUUGCCAAGGAUGUUUUCAUUAAUCAAGAACGAAAGUUAGGGGAUCGAAGACGAUCAGAUACCGUCGUAGUCUUAACCAUAAACUAUGCCGACUAGGGAUCGGAUGAUGUUAAUUUUUUAAUGACUCAUUCGGCGCCUUACGGGAAACCAAAGUGUUUGGGUUC